GCACUCACUUUGGCAGUACAUAUACUAAAAUUGGAACAAUACAGAGACAAUUAGCAUGGCCCUGCACAAGGAUGACACGCAAAUUUGUGACGUGUUCCAUAUUUUA
rnacentral:snRNA from 1 species